GGGGCAGCGCAGCUUAUUAGCAGCGAGAGGGAGGAAGUUUCUGCGGGCCGGGAUUAUGCGCAGUUUCCUUGUCCAGAAGCUUUGCCGUGUUCCCUCCCACUCUCGGAGCAGCGAUUCCAUGAACUAAGGGAAACAGUGAAAACUUAAACCUGCUUCUCCAGGCUGCAGAGCCCCGGAGCCAUUCUAAUAUACUUUUUUCUUUCUCUCUCUCUCUCUCGCUCUCGUUCGCGCUCUCUCUCUCUCUCUCUCUCUCACUGCGUUCGUAUACUUGUAAGGGGAGAACUUUUUUUGGUUGCCUUUGCACCGUGCUGAAAGGGAUUUUGGGCUCUGAUUGGAGAGAGAGAACACUGGAAGUGCACAGCUGCACAAGGCAGGAGCCGGCACACAGUCUGACAGGCAGUUAAAGCCCCUCUCUUUGAGGAAGGGGGGGGGGGGUCAGGGGCUCAAUUUAGCAGUUCCAAGUUUCAGCUAGGUCUACAGGGGAGCUUUAUGGGAACACAAAAUGGAAUAGAUCAGGGAGAAAAAAGGAGUCCUGUACACUUUUGGAGGUUGCAACUCUUUGUGCAAGAGAGGAUCACACAACGUGUAUGCAACUCAAGACCGUUGAAUUUUGUGCUGCAAGAUGCCUUGCAGUCUGCUGUCUCCAUGCUGUGGCAAGAGAAGUCAGAGAAAUCAUCAAAAAACGUUUGGUUACCAGAUGCUUAUUAAUAAUGCGGGGCGGGGCGCGCGCUCCCUCAGUCAUCACCCUGCCGGCCCGCAGAGGCGGCGGCGGCAGUGGAGCUCCCCGACGUCCGGCUCCGCGUUAGCACUCCGCCGCAGCACAGCAGGUACGUGUCACGGGGCGGAGUCUCGGGGCAGGUACAGUCCGCAAAGCGGGGGAUGGGAGGCAGGCCCGAAAUCCCGCAGGACGGCAGUGAUGAGGGACCCCCGCGACCCCUCAGUUUCUGUCUGCCCCCUCUUUCUCUCUCUCUCUCUCUCUCACACACAUACACACAGCCCUAGUCCAGAAACCCC